rnacentral:siRNA from 1 species
UCACUAAUCCUUUGUAGUCUGC